GAAAGCAGGAGCAAUCUUGUGAGUACAGUGGUUNAUGGCUGAGUAACACGAGAAAAAUCUACCUCCUUGUGGGGAAUAACUUUGGGAAACCGGAGCUAAUACCGCAUAAGCUCGAGAGAGGAAAGCAGCAAUGCGCAGGGAGAGGAGCCCGCGGCCGAUUAGCUAGUUGGCAGGGUAAAAGCCUACCAAGGCAAAGAUCGGUAGCCGGCCUGAGAGGGCACACGGCCACACUGGCACUGUAUUCACGGGCCAGACUCCUACGGGAGGCAGCAUUGGG
rnacentral:rRNA from 1 species